rnacentral:rRNA from 1 species
UACAGAGGGUGCAAGCGUUAUCCGGAAUCACUGGGCGUAAAGCGUGCGUAGGUGGAUGUUUAAGUGUGAUGUUAAAUCGCGGGGCUCAACCCUGUCGAUGCAUCGCAUACUGGACGUCUAGAGGAAAGCAGAGGCAAGUGGAACUGGUAGUGUAGCAGUGAAAUGCGUAGAUAUUACCAAGAACACCAAUGGCGAAGGCAGCUUGCUGGGCUUUUUCUGACACUGAGGUACGAAAGCGUGGGGAGCGAACAGG